rnacentral:rRNA from 1 species
AUUGAACGCUGGCGGCAUGCCUUACACAUGCAAGUCGAACGGUAACAGGUUAAGCUGACGAGUGGCGAACGGGUGAGUAAUGUAUCGGAACGUGCCCAGUCGUGGGGGAUAACUGCUCGAAAGAGCAGCUAAUACCGCAUACGACCUGAGGGUGAAAGCGGGGGAUCGCAAGACCUCGCGCGAUUGGAGCGGCCGAUAUCAGAUUAGGUAGUUGGUGAGGUAAAGGCUCUCCAAGCCGACGAUCUGUAGCUGGUCUGAGAGGACGACCAGCCACACUGGGACUGAGACACGGCCCAGACUCCUACGGGAGGCAGCAGUGGGGAAUUUUGGACAAUGGGCGCAAGCCUGAUCCAGCCAUGCCGCGUGCGGGAAGAAGGCCUUCGGGUUGUAAACCGCUUUUGUCAGGGAAGAAAAGGUUCUGGCUAAUACCUGGGACUCAUGACGGUACCUGAAGAAUAAGCACCGGCUAACUACGUG